GACACAGCCUACACACAGACCCACAACAAACAGAGCCACCAGCCGCCGCAGACACGCCCGCCCAGGCCUGCAGAGCUGAGGCUAGGACAGGGAGCUUCCAGCCCUGCCUUUGCCUGGCCUUGGUCUCUGCGGGCCUGGGCCUCAGUUUCUCCUUCUGUAAAAUGGUGGAGAGGGCCAUGGAGGGAGGGGCGGUGGAUGAAAUUAUUCUCAGGUCGGCUUCUGCCUCUCCGCCCGCCCGGGAGGCGAGGCCGUGACUCCGGCCCUCCCUCGGGGCUGUUCCCCAGCUCUCCCCGCCGCCGGGACCCGGCCUGCCUUCCCGUGGUUGGCAGCGCACAGUAGGCGCGCAGGGCGCGUGGUCGGGGCGCGGAGCCGUGGGCGCCCAGGGCGAGGGGCCCCGCACCCCCUCAUGGUCACAUCGCCCCCCACCCCCACUUCGAGCGAGGCCGAGACAGAUUCUGUCUAAAGGAGAUCGCAGCUCAACAGCUGCCCUCCUCCAGAAAGCCUUCCCUGAACGCCCGCAUCUGAUGCCAGCCUCCUGGAGCUCCCACGACCCUCGGCUUCUGUCUGUUUCUGGAGCAUCUGCCCUGGAGCUCAGGGCCACCCGAUUUCUUCCUCGGGGGCUGGGACUCUCACAACAUCCCCCCCAGGAACUGCAGACAACCCGGGAAAGAUUGUAGGGGGCGGGAGUCAGCCUGGGCCAAUGAACGUGCCUCAAACUCACACAUCUGUGUCCUGGCUGGUGGAAGAGUCUGAACACCGUCUUCUCUCGGGCUGGGCCCGGAGGAACUGAAGCCUGACCCAGGAGAGGAAAGGGCCCACAGCUCACGGUGGCGGCUGGGUGGACUCGAAACUGACUCACACCGGGUCUUCGGUCCUGCCCAUGAGGAUCAAUGGGGCCCUGCGGGCCGCUGGCAAGCGGUUGGAUGUCCGACAGUUCAAGUCACUGCUGGCACGGUCUACCCAAAGAUGGCAUUGGAGCCCACAAGUGAGGGGUCUCCACCCUACGAGACCACCUCACCAGUUGCAAGUCCAGGUUGUCACCAGCGCUUGAUGUGCUGGCUCUAGGUCCGAGGUUCCAGCCACACCCUCCUCCUUGGGCGGGAUGAAUUUGCUAGAGCAGCUCACAGAAAACCCUUCAUCUGCUCGAUCACAGGUUGAAAUAAAAGAACACAACUCAAGAACAUCGGACGGGAGAGGGGCCCGGGCGCGGUGUGGGGGAGGGCCGGGGGGCCGCGUCAGCCCAGUUCUCGGACCCCAUCCUUUCUGGGUUCCUGUGGAGGCGCUAAGACUUCGGCAUGAUUGCUUAACGGCAGCGAUUAAAUUAUUGGCCACCGACAGCGGAUUCAACCUCCAGCCUCCCUUCCCUGCAGGUGGGAUGGGGUGGGGGCGGGACUCGUACUUCUCUUUGCUCAUUUGAUUGGUUCAUCUGGUGACCAGCCCCCAUUCUUAGGUGCGCUCCCCAAAGUCCCCUCAUUAACAUCACAAAAGACCCUCUUUGAAAAUUCCAAAAGGUUUUGGAGCGCUUUGCCACAGGUGAGGGUGAGACAAAGACCAAACAUACGUUUCUUUUUUUUAAAUUUGUUUAUUAAAGUCUCGUUG